rnacentral:tmRNA from 1 species
GGGGUCGUAUUGGCUUUGACAGCGAUGGAGGUAAUUAGGUGUCAGCAUGCAGAGCGUUGAAGUGAAGCUCUUAAAUCUCUUGCUCCAAACUAUAAUUGACAACACGUCAUACGCACUUGCUGCCUAAUUAACUGAAUGUUAAUUGGCUUAAUCUAGGUGAAGUUUAGUAACCAGACAAGUACUCUCGCUUGGAUUCCGUUCAUUAAUCUCGGCAUUUGAGAGUUCAUCCUUUUGAUCUAGUGUUUGCGAUGAUUCUAAGCAAAUGCGAAAUUUAGAAUCUAAGUUAUCGUCUUGGGUGUUCAUGUCCGUUUCGAUAGUCGAAAAUUAACCAUGGAAUAAGCAUGUAGAAAGCUUAGUUGCACAUUGUUUGGACGAGGGUUCGAAACCCUCCGGCUCCACUC